rnacentral:rRNA from 1 species
AUUGAACGCUGGCGGCAGGCCUAACACAUGCCAGUCGAGCGGAUGAAGGGAGCUUGCUCCUGGAUUCAGCGGCGGACGGGUGAGUAAUGCCUAGGAAUCUGCCUGGUAGUGGGGGAUAACGUCCGGAAACGGGCGCUAAUACCGCAUACGUCCUGAGGGAGAAAGUGGGGGAUCUUCGGACCUCACGCUAUCAGAUGAGCCUAGGUCGGAUUAGCUAGUUGGUGGGGUAAAGGCCUACCAAGGCGACGAUCCGUAACUGGUCUGAGAGGAUGAUCAGUCACACUGGAACUGAGACACGGUCCAGACUCCUACGGGAGGCAGCAGUGGGGAAUAUUGGACAAUGGGCGAAAGCCUGUUCCAGCCAUGCCGCGUGUGUGAAGAAGGUCUUCGGAUUGUAAAGCACUUUAAGUUGGGAGGAAGGGCAGUAAGUUAAUACCUUGCUGUUUUGACGUUACCAACAGAAUAAGCACCGGCUAACUUCGUG